UGGGGAAUAUUGCGCAAUGGGGGAAACCCUGACGCAGCAACGCCGCGUGAAGGAUGAAGGUUUUCGGAUUGUAAACUUCUUUGACGAGGGACGAAAGAAAUGACGGUACCUCGAAAACAAGCCACGGCUAACUACGUGCCAGCAGCCGCGGUAAUACGUAGGUGGCAAGCGUUGUCCGGAUUUACUGGGUGUAAAGGGCGAGUAGGCGGAAUUGCAAGUCAGAUGUGAAAUACCACGGCUUAACUGUGGGGCUGCAUUUGAAACUGCGGUUCUUGAGUGAUGGAGAGGCAGGCGGAAUUCCUAGUGUAGCGGUGAAAUGCGUAGAUAUUAGGAGGAACACCAGUGGCGAAGGCGGCCUGCUGGACAUUAACUGACGCUGAGGCGCGAAAGCGUGGGGAGCAAACA
rnacentral:rRNA from 1 species